rnacentral:rRNA from 1 species
GACGAACGCUGGCGGCGUGCUUAACACAUGCAAGUCGAACGGAAAGGCCCUGCUUUUGUGGGGUGCUCGAGUGGCGAAAGGGUGAGUAACACGUGAGUAACCUGCCCUUUACUUUGGGAUAACUUCAGGGAACUGGGGCUAAUACCGGAUAGGAGCUCCUGCUGCAUGGUGGGGGUUGGAAAGUUUCGGCGGUUGGGGAUGGACUCGCGGCUUAGCAGCUUGUUGGUGGGGUAGUGGCUUACCAAGGCUUUGACGGGUAGCCGGCCUGAGAGGGUGACCGGCCACAUUGGGACUGAGAUACGGCCCAGACUCCUACGGGAGGCAGCAGUGGGGAAUAUUGCACAAUGGGCGGAAGCCUGAUGCAGCAACGCCGCGUGCGGGAUGACGGCCUUCGGGUUGUAAACCGCUUUCGCCUGUGACGAAGCGUGAGUGACGGUAAUGGGUAAAGAAGCACCGGCUAACUACGUG